ACAUAUGGAGGAGGUGGUGAGGGAGAUGGUGGUGGAGGAGACUUAUAGACAUAAGGUGGUGGUGGUGAUGGGGAUCGUGGAGGUGGAUAUAUGUAGUAAUAAGGUGGGUAUUUGCAGACAUAGGGAGGUGGAGGUGAUAGAGAUGGCGGAGGUGGGAACUUGUAGUAAUAUGGAGGUGAUUUGGAAUAAUAUGGUGCCUGCUGUCCAUGACUUGGACUAAUAUAGAUGAGUUGAGGCAAAUGCCUCAACCCAAAUGAGGUUCCCAUCUUUUUUAAGAAUGUGUAUUUCUGUACUCAGUUCCUUGGAAGAGUGAUAGCUAGUUACUGUGAUUGCUUAAGUUUGCAUUCUAACUCUUUAUAUAGUGUUUUCCAAGCAUAGAUUAUAAGAUUUUUAAUUUUUCAAUUGCAUUAAGACAGCCUGGCUUAAAGUUUUGAAUUAUAUUUUUAUUUCGUGGAUGACGUGUUUACUGUUUUUGUAUAUUUUUUGGUUUUUGUUCAUGUCAUAUUGUAUUUUAAAACUUGAUGCAUUCUGGUCAGAAUUCUUUAAUACACAAAUGGAAUGAAGUAUAACUUGGAAAAGUAAUGCAUCAUUUUAAUUUCCACUGUUUUAUAAGUGAAAAUGUGUUGUAUAUGAUCUAAAUUUGGAUUUAAAUAUUGGUGCAGACAACCAUAUUUCGUAUAAAUAAGCAAAAUUAUGUUUUAUGCUAUAACUUUUGUGCCACUAUUGUCAAUGAAUUAAUAAGCUACUUCAACUUAAUUACUUGUGUUGACGUGACCAUACGGUACUUUUUUGUUUGGUACAUAGAGGAGAUGACAAAACCAUCAUAAACCCACACAUAUAAAGUGGAGGUAUCAGAGUUCGAACCCCGAUCAUAAUAUCCGAUCUAACAAUUUCGACAUUUUAAACAGUUGAGCUAGGACUUGUGACGACCAUAUGGUACUUUAUUUAAUGUGAAAUGGUUAUAUGUAUUGUAGGAAUAUUUCGUUUUGGUUUAAAAAAUUUAAUUGACUUGUUGUAUAUAUAAUUACUGUCUAUCUCAGUCGACCUACCUUCAUAUAAUUUUUUUACGGUUCUUUAAAACAACCAUGAUUUACUCUAAUAUUCUUUGAUUAGUUCCACCAUGAAUAUGUACGACGGUGGAAAAUUUUGAAAUAUUAGUGAUUUUUUGUUUAUUUUGGUAGUGUACUAAUAUUAAUAUAAUUCAUUUUUUUGACCAAACUAGUAAUAUAAUUCUAUUCAAUGUUUAUUUGAUUUAACAAGACAAAAGAAAAGUACGUUAGCAAUGACCUUACUUGUGUAAGAAUCUUUUAAUUAUUUUUUUUUUUGUCUUUCGUACUGGUUUCCGAUCCACCAACGGUGGGCGAUUAAUCCGGCUCGUGUGUAGAGGCGUGUGUAAUGGUCAAGCGUUGUUUCCCCUAAAAAUUGAACUCGGUAUUUCUCAAGUGUAUCUUUGGAAGGAGCUCAAGCAACUUGGUUCAAUUUUUUUUUAAUAUUUAGUUAGUCUCUUAAUUAACUACGAUAUUGUUCAAUAAAUUUUAACUCAAUUAUCAAAAAAUAUCAAAAUUGUAAGGUUGAUGUUGCCAUCAAAGUUCGAACUUUAACUUCUUCAUUUAUGUAUGAGUGAGUUUCCAUUGAUAAUUGUCAAACAAAUUAUUAAGCUUUUGAACUCUUCUAGAAUAAUUAUUAUGCAUUGUCCAUACCAACUGAGCUAAGCUCACAAAGACUGUUUUAUUUUAUUUUUAAUUUUAACGAAAGGGAAUCUUUGAUCUGAAUGUAUUUAAAUAUAAAAAAUCAAAGUGAAUUUAAUUUUAGUGAAAUGGUAGCUAAUUAUUUUAAAAUUUACUACCAUUAUAUUCUGUAGCACAAUUAUGGUAGAAAUUCUUAUUUUCUUGUAGUGCAAGUUAGUUGCAAGUUUUUUCUUGAAAGGAAUUUGUUAUUUUUUUUUUAACUUAAUGAAUGAAAGUUAGUUGCAACAUAUAUAUUAGUCACGGUAUCUCACCUCAUUCUUUUAAUCAUAUUUCUUUGUUUUUGUUUCCCGUUAAAGUAUUCCCAAUAUUUUUAUUUUUUUUAGGGAAUAUUCCCAAUCUUUCUUAAAUAGUAACUAUCAAGUAUCAACAAUUCAACAUGCAUAUUAUAUUCUUUCAAAAAGAAAAAAAAUGGUUAUACAUACUUGUAAGAAAGUACAUAUAUUUUUAGUUUCCUUACUGCUGGCUUCCUAAGACCUGGUAAUGUCUCCUUUCUCACUUGACAAAAAAUUAAUAAUCUAUGAAGCAUAAAUAUGGUCACUAAUGACAGUGGACAUCAAUAAUCAUUUAAAAAAAUAAAUAAAUUAAAUGUAAUUAUAUACGUCAGUUUUUAUUAUAUCAGACACCGAACACAUCUUGAAUGAAGCAAUGUUGCAAACCAUACAUGACAUAAGGCGCUUAAAUGUUAAUCAAAACCAUUUUCAAUGAUCAACGAUAGGGAUAUUAUUACUCAACACCUCUUUAGAAAUCAUUCAAUCAACUUCCAAAGCGUAAUGGUCAUGUCAUGUAAUCAAGUCAGAGGUUGUUACGGUCACCCGUAAUGAGGGGCUACGACAAAAUGAGCUGCAUAACUCUAUGAUUAUUUGUUUUUUUUUUUUUUUAAAGUAACUAAAAUGAUUCUUUUGUAAUGUAAUUUAAUCCAAGUCUUUUGAUGUUAUACUUAGGUUCUCUCUUUGAUUUGACAUAACUUAGCACCAAAUUUAUCUUGUAUUUGCAUUGUUCUUUCAAUAUAGUUUUCUUGUUUUUAUUUCUUGCAUUGUCUUUAUGUUAUUUAAUUAAACUCGUCCUUAUGAUGAGUGAGUAGUUUUUUUAAGUUUUGGGAUUAUGAAAAGUAAUUUUAUGAUAAACUUUUCAUAAUCCUUGUUUUCUUUCUUUUAUUUAGUAUAUGCAUUCACCUAAUUUAUUUUAUUGUUUUGUCAUGUUCGUGUCAUCUCACCGUUUAAACCAAGUUAGUCUCUGUUGUUUGAAUUGGACGAUCUAUUUAUUUGUUUGAACUGAACGACUCAAGUUCCAUAUUGUUUUUCUAUGAUGUUCGAAUUGGAUACCAAUACCAUCACAAACUCAUCUCACAUGAUUAAGUAUAUAAUUAAUUAUGGUGCUGCGUUGUUAUGCUUUAAAAACAAGUGUCCCACAACACAACCAUCACAAACUCAUCUGACAUGAAGAAAUUCAUGAAAGGCAUGUUUAUAGAAAGAAUAAUUUUAGUUCAAAAUGAAAGUAUUUUUUUUCAAAAUUUCAUGAACAUCAUCAAGAUUAGCAACAACAAAUACGAAACUAUAUAUCAGUAUAUGAAAUUUGAUAAAACAGAUUAAAAUACGCUUCUGAAAUAACACUUAUACAAAAUGAUACAACAUGGAGUCCAAAGCAUAGCUUUAUUACAGAGCAGACUUUUAUUACUAAUGAAAACUUUAUUGCAAUACAAACAACACAACAAUGAUCAUAGUAUAACUAUUGGAAGGAGUCAAAAUGCAUAUGUCAUCAAGCUUAAUACACAGGGGGUGGAGGUGAACUAUAUUGGUAGGGCUUAUAUGGUGUAGGUGGGGAUUUGUAAACGUAAGGAGGAGAUUUAUAAACAUAGGGAGCGGGUGGUGGGGAUUUAUAGAUAUAUGGUGGAGACUCAUAAACAUAUGGAGGGGGUAUAGGUUUGUAGUAGUAUGGAGGAGGUGGUGAUGGUGAGGGUGGAGGAGGUGACUCAUAAACAUAAGGUGGUGGUGGAGGGGAUUUGUAGACAUAUUGUGGAGGAGGAGGUGAUUCGUAAACAUAUGGAGGAGGUGGCGGUGACUUGUAGACAUAUGGUGGUGGAGGUGGCGACUUGUAUACAUAUGGUGGGGUGGUGAUGGAGAUGGUGGAGGAGGAGACUUGUAGACAUAUGGAGGUGGGGUGUACACAUAUGGUGGGGGAGGUGGCGACUUGUAGAUAUAUGGAGGAGGUGGUGAUGGUGGAGGAGGAGAUGGGUAAACAUAAGGUGGAGGAGGUGGUGACUUAUACACAUAUGGAGGAGGUGGGGGUGAUUUGUAGAUAUAUGGAGGAGGAGGCGAUGGUGGAGGAGGAGAUGGGUAAACAUAAGGUGGAGGAGGUGGUGAUUUGUAUACGUAUGGAGGAGGUGGUGAUGGUGGAGGAGGAGACGGGUAAACGUAAGGUGGAGGAGGUGGUGACUUGUACACAUAUGGAGGAGGUGGGGGUGACUUGUACACAUAUGGAGGAGGUGGUGAUGGUGGAGGAGGAGACGGGUAAACAUAAGGUGGAGGAGGUGGUGACUUGUACACGUAUGGAGGAGGUGGGGGUGACUUGUACACAUAUGGAGGAGGUGGCGGUGACUUGUAUACAUACGGAGGAGGUGGUGAUGGUGGAGGAGGAGACGGGUAAACGUAAGGUGGAGGAGGUGGUGACUUGUACACGUAUGGAGGAGGUGGGGGUGACUUGUAUACAUAUGGAGGUGGCGGUGAUGGUGGAGGAGGAGACGGGUAAACAUAAGGUGGAGGAGGUGGUGACUUGUACACAUAUGGAGGAG
rnacentral:lncRNA from 1 species